rnacentral:rRNA from 1 species
UCGAGAAUCUUCGGCAAUGGACGAAAGUCUGACCGAGCGACGCCGCGUGCGGGAUGAAGGCCUUCGGGUUGUAAACCGCUGUCAGAGGGGAUGAAAUGCAUCAGGGUUCUCCCUGGUGCUUGACAAAGCCUCAGAGGAAGCACGGGCUAAGUACGUGCCAGCAGCCGCGGUGAUACGUACUGUGCAAACGUUAUUCGGAAUUACUGGGCUUAAAGGGUGUGUAGGCGGCUGGUUAAGUAGGGUGUGAAAGGCCUCGGCCUAACCGAGGCAUUGCGCUCUAAACUGACUGGCUUGAGUGAGAUAGGGGUGUGCGGAACUUCCAGUGGAGCGGUGAAAUGUGUUGAUAUUGGAAGGAACGCCGGUGGCGAAAGCGGCACACUGGGUCUCGUCUGACGCUGAGACACGAAAGCCAGGGGAGCGAACG